AACGAACGCUGGCGGCAUGCCUAACACAUGCAAGUCGAACGAGACCUUCGGGUCUAGUGGCGCACGGGUGCGUAACGCGUGGGAACCUGCCCUUAGGUUCGGAAUAACUCUCCGAAAGGGGUGCUAAUACCGGAUAAUGUCUUCGGACCAAAGAUUUAUCGUCUUUGGAUGGGCCCGCGUUGGAUUAGCUAGUUGGUAGGGUAAAAGCCUACCAAGGCGAAGAUCCAUAGCUGGUCUGAGAGGAUGAUCAGCCACACUGGGACUGAGACACGGCCCAGACUCCUACGGGAGGCAGCAGUGGCGAAUAUUGGAAUAUGGGCGAAAGCCUGAUCCAGCAAUGCCGCGUGAGUGAUGAAGGCCUUAGAGUUGUAAAGCUCUUUUACCCGGGAUGAUAAUGACAGUACCGGGAGAAUAAGCACCGGCUAACUCCGUG
rnacentral:rRNA from 1 species